rnacentral:rRNA from 1 species
GAUUAACGCUGGCGGCGUGCCUAACACAUGCAAGUCGAACGAGGUAGCAAUACCUAGUGGCAGACGGGUGAGUAACGCGUGGUCAACCUACCGUUGAGUGGGGGAUAACUAGCCGAAAGGUUAGCUAAUACCGCAUACGUCUCCGAGUGGCAUCACUUGGCGAUAAAAGGAGCAAUCCGCUCGAUGACGGGACCGCGUCCCAUUAGCUAGAUGGUGGGGUAACGCCUACCAUGGCACCGAUGGGUAGCUGGUUUGAGAGAGCGACCAGCCACACUGGGACUGAGAAACGGCCCAGACUCCUACGGGAGGCAGCAGUGGGGAAUAUUGCGCAAUGGGCGAAAGCCUGACGCAGCGACGCCGCGUGAGGGAUGAAGGCCUUCGGGUU